rnacentral:rRNA from 1 species
UCCACAGGCCAGAUGGUAGUGGGUGUCCCCUGUGGGAUGCUUAAGAUAUGGUCGAGUCCCAUUCGAAAGUCUGGGUAGAAGUACUCUGCUGCUUGAAACAAACUGUUCCGUAGGUGAACCUGCGGAAGGAUCAUUAAUGUGUUUGAGCUUCGGCUCUUCAUCCAGACGCUGUGCGCCUUCGGGCUGCACGCUGACGGAGCAUAUAUCCACCCCUGUGCACACACACGGUGACGAGCUGGAUAACGGCUCGCCGCUGAUUUUUACACACGUCUAAAAGUCUUGUAUGUUUUAUUGUAUAAAAAAAACAACUUUCAGCAACGGAUCUCUUGGCUCUCGCAUCGAUGAAGAACGCAGCGAAAUGCGAUAAGUAAUGUGAAUUGCAGAAUUCAGUGAAUCAUCGAAUCUUUGAACGCACCUUGCGCCACGUGGUAUUCCACGGGGCACGCCUGUUUGAGUGUCACGUAAACCCAUCGCGUCUCGGAUUGUCAUGAUCUGAGGGGCGGAUUUGGACGCNGCCGUAGUGGCUCGUCUCGAAAUGCAUUAGCCAGUCCGAGGACGCGCGCCGUUGGUGUGAUAAUUCACUUUGCGCCGCUGGUCGUGUCUGACGAAGGCUUAUAGUCGCCUGUAAGGGCAACAUUUAAUGCUCUGGCCUCAAAUCAGGUGGGACUACCCGCUGAACUUAAGCAUAUCAAUAAGCGGAGGAAAAGAAACUAACAAGGAUUCCCCUAGUAACGGCGAGUGAAGAGGGAAAAGCUCAAAUUUGUAAUCUGGCGGUCUCUGGCCGUCCGAGUUGUAAUUUGGAGAGGCGUCUUCCGCGUCGGACCACGUACAAGUCCCCUGGAACGGGGCGUCGUAGAGGGUGAGAAUCCCGUUCACGACGUGGACUACCGAGGCUAUGUGAUGCGCCCUCGAAGAGUCGAGUUGUUUGAGAAUGCAGCUCAAAAUGGGUGGUAAAUUCCAUCUAAAGCUAAAUACUGGCGAGAGACCGAUAGCGAACAAGUACCGUGAGGGAAAGAUGAAAAGAACUUUGGAAAGAGAGUUAAACAGUACGUGAAAUUGCUGAAAGGGAAACGCUUGGAGUCAGUCGCUUCGCCGAGGAUUCAGCCGGGCUUCUGUUCGGUGUACUUCCACGGUGAGGGGUCAGCAUCGAUUUCAGUUGCGGGAGAACGGCGUGAGGAAUGUGGCACCUCCGGGUGUGUUAUAGCCUCGCGUCACGACCGUGGCCGGGAUCGAGGACCGCAGCGCGCCCGCAAGGGUCGAGGCUUGCCUUCGA